AGCGUACACGGUGGAUGCCCUGGCAGUCAGAGGCGAUGAAGGACGUGCUAAUCUGCGAUAAGCGUCGGUAAGGUGAUAUGAACCGUUAUAACCGGCGAUUUCCGAAUGGGGAAACCCAGUGUGAUUCGUCACACUAUCAUUAACUGAAUCCAUAGGUUAAUGAGGCGAACCGGGGGAACUGAAACAUCUAAGUACCCCGAGGAAAAGAAAUCAACCGAGAUUCCCCCAGUAGCGGCGAGCGAACGGGGAGGAGCCCAGAGCCUGAAUCAGUGUGUGUGUUAGUGGAAGCGUCUGGAAAGGCGCGCGAUACAGGGUGACAGCCCCGUACACAAAAAUGCACAUGCUGUGAGCUCGAUGAGUAGGGCGGGACACGUGGUAUCCUGUCUGAAUAUGGGGGGACCAUCCUCCAAGGCUAAAUACUCCUGACUGACCGAUAGUGAACCAGUACCGUGAGGGAAAGGCGAAAAGAACCCCGGCGAGGGGAGUGAAAAAGAACCUGAAACCGUGUACGUACAAGCAGUGGGAGCACGCUUCGGCGUGUGACUGCGUACCUUUUGUAUAAUGGGUCAGCGACUUAUAUUCUGUAGCAAGGUUAACCGAAUAGGGGAGCCGAAGGGAAACCGAGUCUUAACUGGGCGUUAAGUUGCAGGGUAUAGACCCGAAACCCGGUGAUCUAGCCAUGGGCAGGUUGAAGGUUGGGUAACACUAACUGGAGGACCGAACCGACUAAUGUUGAAAAAUUAGCGGAUGACUUGUGGCUGGGGGUGAAAGGCCAAUCAAACCGGGAGAUAGCUGGUUCUCCCCGAAAGCUAUUUAGGUAGCGCCUCGUGAAUUCAUCUCCGGGGGUAGAGCACUGUUUCGGCAAGGGGGUCAUCCCGACUUACCAACCCGAUGCAAACUGCGAAUACCGGAGAAUGUUAUCACGGGAGACACACGGCGGGUGCUAACGUCCGUCGUGAAGAGGGAAACAACCCAGACCGCCAGCUAAGGUCCCAAAGUCAUGGUUAAGUGGGAAACGAUGUGGGAAGGCCCAGACAGCCAGGAUGUUGGCUUAGAAGCAGCCAUCAUUUAAAGAAAGCGUAAUAGCUCACUGGUCGAGUCGGCCUGCGCGGAAGAUGUAACGGGGCUAAACCAUGCACCGAAGCUGCGGCAGCGACACUAUGUGUUGUUGGGUAGGGGAGCGUUCUGUAAGCCUGUGAAGGUGUACUGUGAGGUAUGCUGGAGGUAUCAGAAGUGCGAAUGCUGACAUAAGUAACGAUAAAGCGGGUGAAAAGCCCGCUCGCCGGAAGACCAAGGGUUCCUGUCCAACGUUAAUCGGGGCAGGGUGAGUCGACCCCUAAGGCGAGGCCGAAAGGCGUAGUCGAUGGGAAACAGGUUAAUAUUCCUGUACUUGGUGUUACUGCGAAGGGGGGACGGAGAAGGCUAUGUUGGCCGGGCGACGGUUGUCCCGGUUUAAGCGUGUAGGCUGGUUUUCCAGGCAAAUCCGGAAAAUCAAGGCUGAGGCGUGAUGACGAGGCACUACGGUGCUGAAGCAACAAAUGCCCUGCUUCCAGGAAAAGCCUCUAAGCAUCAGGUAACAUCAAAUCGUACCCCAAACCGACACAGGUGGUCAGGUAGAGAAUACCAAGGCGCUUGAGAGAACUCGGGUGAAGGAACUAGGCAAAAUGGUGCCGUAACUUCGGGAGAAGGCACGCUGAUAUGUAGGUGAAGCGACUUGCUCGUGGAGCUGAAAUCAGUCGAAGAUACCAGCUGGCUGCAACUGUUUAUUAAAAACACAGCACUGUGCAAACACGAAAGUGGACGUAUACGGUGUGACGCCUGCCCGGUGCCGGAAGGUUAAUUGAUGGGGUUAGCGGUAACGCGAAGCUCUUGAUCGAAGCCCCGGUAAACGGCGGCCGUAACUAUAACGGUCCUAAGGUAGCGAAAUUCCUUGUCGGGUAAGUUCCGACCUGCACGAAUGGCGUAAUGAUGGCCAGGCUGUCUCCACCCGAGACUCAGUGAAAUUGAACUCGCUGUGAAGAUGCAGUGUACCCGCGGCAAGACGGAAAGACCCCGUGAACCUUUACUAUAGCUUGACACUGAACAUUGAGCCUUGAUGUGUAGGAUAGGUGGGAGGCUUUGAAGUGUGGACGCCAGUCUGCAUGGAGCCGACCUUGAAAUACCACCCUUUAAUGUUUGAUGUUCUAACGUUGGCCCCUGAUCGGGGUUGCGGACAGUGUCUGGUGGGUAGUUUGACUGGGGCGGUCUCCUCCUAAAGAGUAACGGAGGAGCACGAAGGUUGGCUAAUCCUGGUCGGACAUCAGGAGGUUAGUGCAAUGGCAUAAGCCAGCUUGACUGCGAGCGUGACGGCGCGAGCAGGUGCGAAAGCAGGUCAUAGUGAUCCGGUGGUUCUGAAUGGAAGGGCCAUCGCUCAACGGAUAAAAGGUACUCCGGGGAUAACAGGCUGAUACCGCCCAAGAGUUCAUAUCGACGGCGGUGUUUGGCACCUCGAUGUCGGCUCAUCACAUCCUGGGGCUGAAGUAGGUCCCAAGGGUAUGGCUGUUCGCCAUUUAAAGUGGUACGCGAGCUGGGUUUAGAACGUCGUGAGACAGUUCGGUCCCUAUCUGCCGUGGGCGCUGGAGAACUGAGGGGGGCUGCUCCUAGUACGAGAGGACCGGAGUGGACGCAUCACUGGUGUUCGGGUUGUCAUGCCAAUGGCACUGCCCGGUAGCUAAAUGCGGAAGAGAUAAGUGCUGAAAGCAUCUAAGCACGAAACUUGCCCCGAGAUGAGUUCU
rnacentral:rRNA from 1 species